UACAGAGGGUGCAAGCGUUAAUCGGAAUUACUGGGCGUAAAGCGCACGUAGGUGGUUUGGCAAGUUGGAUGUGAAAGCCCCGGGCUUAACCUGGGAACUGCAUUCAAUACUACCAAGCUAGAGUAGAGUAGAGGGAAGUGGAAUUUCCGGUGUAGCGGUGAAAUGCGUAGAUAUCGGAAGGAACACCAGUGGCGAAGGCGGCUUCCUGGACUCAUACUGACACUGAGGUGCGAAAGCGUGGGGAGCAAACAGG
rnacentral:rRNA from 1 species